GUAAGUUUCACAAUUGUCCUCUGUCAAGGUGCUUUAACCUGGAGAGUAGGCUUUUUUAUGUAGAAGACUCUAUGUGUAUUUUACAUCAGUUACUUUCCCCCUGUGCCAGCCAUAGCCUAUAGGGGAUCUUUCUUUGAUCAACAUUGUAACCUGAUAUGGUUUCAGGAGAGAAAGCCCAUGAAAGUAUGGGGGCUCCCCUAAGACUGUGAUCUCAGGAAUUCCUUACUCUGAAGCUGUUCCAUCCUUAUCGUCCAGCAAUUUAUAGUUAUCAUUUAAGUGUUUCUACCAGUUGUAGCUUCAGUGGCUUCUGCUCCAGGCUCAUAGACCGAGGACUGCCUUGUCUCAGAUGGGACUUUGGACCUGGACUUUUGGGUUAAUGCUGCAAUGAGGUAAGACUUUGGGGGACUCUUGGAAGGCAUGAUUGGCUUUGAAAUGUGAGGGCAUGAGAUUUGGGAGGGGCCAGAGGUAGAGUGAAAUGGUUUGGCUCUGUGUCCCCACCGAAAUUUCACCUUGAAUUGUAAUAAUCCCCACGUGUUGUGGGAGGGACUCAGUGGGAUGUAAUUGAAUCAUGGGGGUGGGUUUCUUUGUGCUGUUCUCAUGAUAGUGAAUAAGUCUAAAAAGGAGAGUUCCCCUGCAUAUGCUUUCUUGCCUGCUGUCAUGUAAGUCAUCACUUUGGUCUUCCUUGAUCUUCAGCCAUGAUUGUGAGGCCUCCCCAGUCGUGUAGAACUGUGAGUCCAUUAAACCUGUUUCCUUUAUAAAUUACCAGUCUCACAUAUGUCUUUAUUAGCAGUAUGAGAAAGGACUGAUACACUAACAAAUUGUUUGUUAAAGUUAUAAAAAUGACACUUUCACCAAUGAAUAUGAAACUUCCAUUUGUUACAAAUCAAUUCCACAAUUUGUUUUUAUAUCUGUGUGUGCGUGUGUGUGUGUGCACGUGUCCACAGUGUGUUUUUAAUGCCACACAUUAGGUUCCCUGGAAAAUGGACUCUAGGAUGUAGAUUUGUAGUCAGGCACUCAUAAAAUCUUACCUCCUUUAUCUCUAAAGUAGGUUAGAUAGGAGAGGUUUGGGAAUAAAGGGAAGUUGAACAGAUUUUCAAGUACCAUAAAGGCCUCAGCCAAUAUUACAAGGUUACUCUGCAGCUGGGAAGGCACUUCAUAAUACUAUCUGUCUGGGAUGAGGGUGCUGGACCUUUGUAACCUGGAGACUUUGGACAAACUGUAUCUCUUCAGCAAAAAGGAAGCCCCAGAUAUGGAUUCAUCUAUGAGAUCUUCAUCAAGCACAGUGUAGGAGAAGCAUCACGAUGGCACAUCAUAACAAUCAUAUUCCACAUCUUUAUUCCUAAAAUUGUUUCUCAAUUCAAGUGAUUUCAUAGAAAAAGUUCUAGGAUUAUCCUCCAAGAUUCUAUUUGCCACUUUUCUUAGAAAAACCUUGCAAAAGAAAUGUAAAAUGAACUAAAGUUUAUGCCAUUCCAACUGCGUUCAAGGCUAUAAAUGAUACUCCUAGUCUACCUCCUCUCUCACUCAUUCUAGAUUACAUUGACUUCUGGUGGCAGUCCCGAGUAUCUAUGUUGUUAUCUGUAGGUUGAUGAAGAUUCUCAUUUCUUAGGUAUCUAAUCCCAAAUCAUCAUGCUUUUCUUGGAUCAUAGCUACUGCACUUUUUCAUUUACCUUGACAAUUUGUCAAAGGUUUAUUGAAAGAUUUCUAAGUUAUUAUCUUGGUACCAUACUCUACCCCUUCCCAUUGAGUAACAUCAGCCUGACUUCACUCUAAUGACUGGAGUCAAUUUUCCAAGCUAGGAUUGAGACUCUACUCUUUCCCUGUCCUGGUCCCUUGGCAUCUAGUUGCUGAUUUGACUGGGUGGCAUUAUAACUUGAAAUUUAAACAGAACUUUGUUAUGCAUUAUAAUUGAAACAUUAUCCCUCUAAGAGUCUAGACUUCCAAACUCCAGAGUCUAAAGUUGUAGAUCCAGUAUUCAGUCUCAUGAAUAUGGCCAUAGCUCCUACAUAUAUUUCUAAGGUAGGUCCUGUAGAAGUAUUAUCUUCUUUUUCACAUUUACUAUAA
rnacentral:lncRNA from 10 species